rnacentral:tRNA from 1 species
GCGUAGGGCCUUCUCAAUUUUGCCAAGGUUGGGGUCGAGGGUUCGAAUCCCUUCGCCCGCUCCA